rnacentral:rRNA from 1 species
UACGGAGGGUGCGAGCGUUGUCCGGAAUCACUGGGCGUAAAGGGCGCGUAGGCGGCUCGGCACGUCCGUUGUGAAAUCGCCCGGCUCAACUGGGCGGGGUCGGCGGAUACGGCCGAGCUGGAGCAAGCUAGGGGGUAAUGGAAUUCCCGGUGUAGUGGUGGAAUGCGUAGAUAUCGGGAGGAACACCAGUGGCGAAGGCGGUUACCUGGAGCUUUGCUGACGCUGAUGCGCGAAAGCGUGGGGAGCGAUCCGG